UUUUUUUUUUUUUUUUUUUUUGAGAUGGUAUUUCGCUCUUGUUGCCCAGGCUAGAGUGCAAUAGCGUGAUUUCGGCUCACUGCAACCUCCGCCUUCUGGGCUGAGGCAGAAGAAUGGCGUGAACCUGGGAGGCGGAGGUUGCAGUGAGCCGAGAUCGUGCCACUGCACUCCAGCCUGGGAGACAGCGCAAGACUCUAGCUCAAACAAACAAACAAACAAAACAGCAACAACAACAACAAAACCAUCCUCCCCUCCCGAGGGGACAGAACAGAAACGAAUGGGCGAGUGCCGGGCCAAGCAGUGGGUCUCCAGCAGGUGGCAUUAAAAUAGGAAUUUUGGCUGGGGACGGUGGCUCACACCUGUAAUCUCAGCACUUUGGAAAGCCCAGGCGGGCGGUCACCUGAGGGCAGAACCAGCCUCGCCAACAUGGUGAAAUGCCAUCUCUACUAAAAAUAAAAAAUUAGCCAGGCCUGGUGGUGGGUGUCUGUAAUCCCAGCAACUCGGGAGGCUGAGGCAGGAGAAUCGCUUGAACCAGGGGGGCAGAGGUUGCAAUGAGUCAAGAUUGCACCACCGCACUCCAGCCUGCGUAACAAGAGCGUGUAACUCUUGUCUCAAAAAUAAAUUAAAUAAAUAAA
rnacentral:lncRNA from 10 species